rnacentral:rRNA from 1 species
GUGUAUGGCCAUACUGCCCUAAAUGCACCUGAUCUUGUCUGAUCUCGGAAGCUAAGCAGGGUCGGGCCUGGUUAGUAGUGGAUGAGAAGGAUUUGGGGGAGGGUUCUAUGGGAUCAUCUCAGACCUUAGCCUAACGCC